AUGGAGAUCAAGGCCAUGAGCAGAUACACCAGCCCAGUGAACCCUGCUGUCAUCCCUCUUCUGACCAUGGUUCUAUUGGCCAUUGGCAUGUUAUUUACUCCCUGGUUCUUUAUUUAUGAGGUUACCUCCACUAAGUACACUCGGGAUAUCUAUGAAGAGCUCCUCAUCUCCUUGUUGGCCUCGCUCCUCAUGGACUUUGGAGUCCUCUUUCUGCUGCUCUGA